ACGCUGGCGGCAGGCCUAACACAUGCAAGUCGAGCGGUAGCACAGAGAGCUUGCUCUCGGGUGACGAGCGGCGGACGGGUGAGUAAUGUCUGGGAAACUGCCUGAUGGAGGGGGAUAACUACUGGAAACGGUAGCUAAUACCGCAUAACGUCGCAAGACCAAAGUGGGGGACCUUCGGGCCUCAUGCCAUCAGAUGUGCCCAGAUGGGAUUAGCUAGUAGGUGGGGUAACGGCUCACCUAGGCGACGAUCCCUAGCUGGUCUGAGAGGAUGACCAGCCACACUGGAACUGAGACACGGUCCAGACUCCUACGGGAGGCAGCAGUGGGGAAUAUUGCACAAUGGGCGCAAGCCUGAUGCAGCCAUGCCGCGUGUGUGAAGAAGGCCUUCGGGUUGUAAAGCACUUUCAGUGGGGAGGAAGGCGUUAAGGUUAAUAACCUUGGCGAUUGACGUUACCCGCAGAAGAAGCACCGGCUAACUCCGUGCCAGCAGCCGCGGUAAUACGGAGGGUGCAAGCGUUAAUCGGAAUUACUGGGCGUAAAGCGCACGCAGGCGGUCUGUCAAGUCGGAUGUGAAAUCCCCGGGCUUAACCUGGGAACUGCAUUCGAAACUGGCAGGCUAGAGUCUUGUAGAGGGGGGUAGAAUUCCAGGUGUAGCGGUGAAAUGCGUAGAGAUCUGGAGGAAUACCGGUGGCGAAGGCGGCCCCCUGGACAAAGACUGACGCUCAGGUGCGAAAGCGUGGGGAGCAAACAGGAUUAGAUACCCUGGUAGUCCACGCCGUAAACGAUGUCGAUUUGGAGGUUGUGCCCUUGAGGCGUGGCUUCCGGAGCUAACGCGUUAAAUCGACCGCCUGGGGAGUACGGCCGCAAGGUUAAAACUCAAAUGAAUUGACGGGGGCCCGCACAAGCGGUGGAGCAUGUGGUUUAAUUCGAUGCAACGCGAAGAACCUUACCUGGUCUUGACAUCCACAGAACUUUCCAGAGAUGGAUUGGUGCCUUCGGGAACUGUGAGACAGGUGCUGCAUGGCUGUCGUCAGCUCGUGUUGUGAAAUGUUGGGUUAAGUCCCGCAACGAGCGCAACCCUUAUCCUUUGUUGCCAGCGGUCCGGCCGGGAACUCAAAGGAGACUGCCAGUGAUAAACUGGAGGAAGGUGGGGAUGACGUCAAGUCAUCAUGGCCCUUACGACCAGGGCUACACACGUGCUACAAUGGCAUAUACAAAGAGAAGCGACCUCGCGAGAGCAAGCGGACCUCAUAAAGUAUGUCGUAGUCCGGAUUGGAGUCUGCAACUCGACUCCAUGAAGUCGGAAUCGCUAGUAAUCGUAGAUCAGAAUGCUACGGUGAAUACGUUCCCGGGCCUUGUACACACCGCCCGUCACACCAUGGGAGUGGGUUGCAAAAGAAGUAGGUAGCUUAACCUUCGGGAGGGCGCUU
rnacentral:rRNA from 1 species